UACAGAGGAUGCAAGCGUUGUCCGGAAUUAUUGGGCGUAAAGAGCUCGUAGGCGGUCUGUCGCGUCUGCUGUGAAAACUCGGGGCUUAACCCCGGGCCUGCAGUGGGUACGGGCAGACUAGAGUGCGGUAGGGGAGACUGGAAUUCCUGGUGUAGCGGUGAAAUGCGCAGAUAUCAGGAGGAACACCGGUGGCGAAGGCGGGUCUCUGGGCCGUAACUGACGCUGAGGAGCGAAAGCGUGGGGAGCGAACAGG
rnacentral:rRNA from 1 species